GCUGAACACUGUUAAUCAAGCUUACACAGCUAUUUUGAUGGCAAACAAUUAGAACUCUGAAGCAAUACCUUGCAAUUAGCUUCAGGGAUAUGGACCUCAGCACCGUAAUAAUGAAAGAGACCUUCUCCUUCAAGCAAGCCCUCUAAAGCCAGUUUCAGAAACGGCCUCUGAAACAGUAUGGGUUCUACAAGCAGAGACUAAAACUGUGUCUGGAUGGAGAUCUGUGGCUUAAAAUAUGAUGGAAUCAUACUUACCUGCUGCUAUUUGGGCUGCACUGAAAAUCAUAAGGCAUUAAGCAACUCUGAAUUCCCAUGAUGACUUGCUGUACUUGCAUUAAAAAAAUCUUUUUUUUAUAUUGUACCUCUACAUUUUUUUGCACAAGAAUUUAGUGGAGCCUGAUCUCUUGUCAAGUUUCAAAGCACAAUGACUCAAGAAGGAAGGGAAGUGAUUUUUCUUCACAUUUCUGAAAUGUGUUAGCAUUGAAAUCAUGGUCACAUCUGUAGGAAUGUCUAAUACAUGAUUAGAUGAUCAGAAUAAGUCCAGAAGAGUUUUGUCAAGAAUAGAAACACUCUUAAAUGGCAAAAUCUACACGUAAGAGAACAAUAAUAUUUUCUGUGAUUCUGGAAUGCUCUUUUUAAAAUCAGUGUGGUUCCCUGAACUUCUGCUGCUGUGAUGAAAAAGCAUUCCAGAGAAAGCAAACUUCUGGUAAUUUUCUAAUAUCAAGCAAUACAAAUUCACAGUGCAGAAUACAUUGCAUUAACAUCACAAGUAAAUAACAGUAUUUUCCUCUGUCACAAACAUUUAGCUUAUAUUCCCAAAUACCAUUUUAGUACUUUGAAAAUAGUCCUCAAGAAUUUUCAGUGGAUAAUUGAGCCGUGUGGGUAUUUUAGGACAAAUAUUGGGAAAAGUCAUGUUCAAUACCAAUGUCUAUACCAUUUAAACAAUGAAAGCAUCAGGUAAGUAACAACAUUUGGACAGCAAGUCAAUAUGACUAUGAAAGGUCUCCAAUAAUGAGCAAACUCAAACCAAUACACUGUUUGAGUAUUUGGCCUUCCUAUUGACAAAGGUUGCUUUCAAUCACACUGUAUCUAUUACCAUAUCAAUCAUCACUCUAAAUGAAUACAACAUGAACAUUGACGAAGACAUCACUUAGGCAAAGAAACUAAAGGUUCUGUGAAAACAAAUAAUGAAAGUUUGGUUGAUCACAGCAUGAAAAUUAGACCUAAUCCUUAGUCAUUCUUAUUUUGUAAAACAAACAAAUUGAAACUAAAAAUGUUAGCUCUAUUUCUUUCCAGGAACUUAAAAUAUAUGGAAAUUGAUAUUACAUUCUUAAUUAUUAAACAUAAUGCAAUCCAAUACUUUGUUUGCUACACAAAUUAAGAUAUGGAAUUGGACUGAUGAAAAUGAUUUACGUGCAGGAUUAAAAUAUUGGCAGCUUUAUAGAGUGAAAUGUCACUAUACUGCUGUACCUUCAAGUUUUACAUUUCCUCCUUUGAAUCCCUGUCAGCCUUCAUGAACACUGGAGAGUUUAAUCAAUGCUUGCUGUAGCCAUAGAAUAACACUGAAUAUUUUACCUGUGUAAUAAUCAUUGUGCAGUUUAGUACAAGUCAAAAGCAGAAAUUACAAACAUAUAUGUUGCAAUUGACAAGGUAACAUGUUAAAUUACAUUAAAAUAAAUUCUUACACAUUUCUAUGAUUCUUUUCUUUUUGUGAAGGCAACCUGUUUUGCAACAGCUCAAUGCACCCUAGGGCAAUCAAAUUGUAUUUAGGAUGACUCAGAGGUCAUAAAAUUCGAACACCUCUGAGUUCAUGUAUUUGAAUUACUUUAAUUUAUAUGAUACAAAACUCUUGUGAAACAAGCAUUUUAUUUGCUUUAUGUACUCCAAAGGGUGGAAUUCAGAUUAUAAUUUGUACUGCAUUUUUUUCAAGAUAGUCAAUAUCAACAAUAUCAAAACUGGAGAGGGAAAAAGAGAUUAUCAUCUUGGUGUUGUGGCAGUCUGUUUUCCUUAUAAAACAAUCUUAUGUGAAGUAAAAAUACAGGCAAGAAUAAGGAAAUGAGGAGAGGAACUUAGCAUGAAAUGUAGGAAACUAAAUAGAAAACUGAGUAGAUGUAAAGGUUGUCAAAUACAUUGAACUUAUUUCCAGAUUUUCAAAUCAAAACCACUAGUACAGCUAAUUUAAAAGAUAGCUUAAGUUUUUUUAUUAAAAAAUAAGAAAAAAAUAGGAUAUUUAAUAUAAUGACACCAAACAAAGAAGAAAGACUAAGAUAUGUUUGAAAUACGUUAGGUUUUCAGACAAUUUUCCAAAAGACAUUCAUCUAUAGAAUAGUCCCAAUACCUCUAAAUUACAAACCACUUCAAUAACAUUGUGAGGAAGGAAUAUAAAUAAUAAUUUUGAUUAAAGAGUUCUUAAUUUCUAUUUAAAGAGCAUAUCUUGUGUAUAUUUUAAUAACCAGGUGCAGUGCAAGAAGUGCAUUAUGUCAUAGAUAUUUAUUCAAAAAUAUGUAGAAAAAACCCACUUCUACUGUCAACAAUGUUCUUUGUUGCAUUAUUCUUUCAGCUCUGAAAUCGAUCUAGUAAGUAUCUAUUGAAUGAAUAUUUUGCCUAGAAAUUUGUUUUGCCUUGGUGUAUAUUACAAGCAUAUAGAUAUUUAAGAACAUAGAAAGUGCUCUGGUCUGCCUAGUCAACCCUCUGUUUGCUAUAACACUCCUCAAGAAGGCUUUAUUUUUCCAGCAGGUGUAUCAAGCUAUAUCGAAUAUUUAAUCCACCUAUGCAAGAGAGUAAAUUUUAGAGUAUAUAUUCAUAGAAGAAAUUUGCAUUGCUGUCUCCAGUUCUGUGUCUGAUGACACACAGAGUGUCAGUUUUAUAACACAAAAUAUGCAAUAUUUCAGAAAGAUUCAUUAAGCUAACCCCUGUUAUGAAGAUAAUUUACAUUUACUUCAAGCCAUUAAGGGUGUAAUCACUUUAGGCAAGCAUGAAUAGAAAGCUGUGAUUUUUAUCCCAACUUGAUCUUCGUUUUUCUCACAGCCAGCAUUCAACAGGGCUGAAAGGGCAGUAGCAAUGACUCUACCACAUGCUGUUCCUUGUCUCAGGUCACAACAGGCAGACCAACACUGAGCAUUUUGCCUUCAGCCUCCUCAACCACAUGUUGAAAAAAGACAGUUUUAAGAGUUCCAGCAUUUAGGCUGAGUGUCUUUCACCCUUUAAUUUUAAGCCAAAUUAAGCCAAAUCUUGUUCAGAAUCUUUAACCUGAAAUUUUACUGUCAUAUAUAUGACAACUGCCCUCCUAGUGGAGUUCCCAUACAUUGAUCUGUCUGGGCAUAUGGGAUAUAUCUCAAAUGGAACUAUAUUGCCAAUAAAUUCAAAUCAGAGGGCUGGGUCAUCACCAGUAGUAUGAAAUUUAAUAAGUCCAAGAUUUUGUCCCUGGAAUGGGGCAACCCUGGUUAUAUGGACAGACUGGGGAAUGAGAUGCUGGAAAGCAGUGACAUGGAAAGGCAUCUGGGGUUCUGGUUGUUGGCAAGUUGAAUCUGAGUCAGCAGUGCCCUGGCAGCCAGGAGGGCCAACCCUGUCCUGGGGGGACACCAGGCACAGCAUGGCCGGCUGGGAAAGGGAGGGGAUUGUCCUGCUCUGCUCUGCACUGGGGCAGCCUCACCUCGAGUGCUGGGGGCAGUUUUGGGUGCCACAAUGUAAUGAUUUUAAACUAGUAAACAGUGCCCAAAGGAGGGCUAGGAAGACAGUGAAGAGCCUUGAUGGGAAGCUGUACAAGAAGAGGCUUAGGUAAUUCAGUCUUUUCAGCCUAGAGAAGAGGAGACUGAGGAAAUGAGACCUCUAAUCAGUUUACAACUUCUUUGUGAGAGGAAGCAGAGGGACAGGCACUGAUGUCACUGGUGAGCAGUGGUAAGACCGAAGGGAAUGGCCUGAAGAUGUAUCAACAGAGGUUUAGGCUGGUCAUUAGAAAAAGUUUUUUCUCCCAAAGCAUGGUUGGGCACUGGAACAGGUAACCCAAGGAACCAUUCAAGACACCAAUCUGGCUGGAGCUCAAGAAACAUUUGGACACAACUUACAGACACAUUGGGUGAUUUUUUUCUGUUGUUCUGUUGGACUUGAUCAUUAUGGAUCCCUUCAAACUCAGGAUAGUCUAUGAACCUAUGAUUCUCUGUUGCUGUUUGUAAUUCUGACCCUAUCCAGCUCUGAGAAGACAAAACCCCAGAACAACAGAAAGGGCAAAAGAAAUGUCUUAUUUCCAUGAAAAUGUAGAAAAGCUGGACAUGAUGGAUACUUAUUCAUUUUUUGCCCCCAAAACUCUACAUGAUGCACCUGAAAUAAUAACAUGGGUUUUUUUCAGUAAUAUGUCAGGAAUGGAGCAGGGAUUUCAAAACCUAGGACAAUAGUACAAAGAACUGCCUGUUGCCAACCAAGCUGAAACAGUUUAAAGUAACAUUGCUUCUAUAGUUCUGCCUGUGUUCUCUGAAAGGAAGAUUUUUAGUGCAGUAGAGGUUUAUUUGUACAUUUCCAUAACAUUGCAUAUUAAUCUAAAAGGAAAAUUUAGGGUCAUUUAUGAAGAGAAGGCUACAGAAGAAGGACUGAUAGAAAUAAUCAUGGAUACAUAAAGCCAUUGAUGGAAGCUGAGCAGCUCGAGAAAGCUAUGGUAGUAUUUCUGGGGUUUGGGAUUAGUGUAUUAGUAUAAGAUGAGUUCUGAGGAAGUCAGGGUUACCAGAAGGUGGAUUUUGCUGAAUAAAAAGUACUCCAUGGUACUGGCUGAAACAAAGUGCUGAAUAGGUGAUUGGGAUAUGGAUAAGGAAGGUGACAGGCAUUCUGAAAUGCUGUUUGCAGCUCUCAGCACAUACUGGAGCAUGUCCUGUGUCCUGUUAUACUUCUGCCCAUUCAGAACUCACCUCUGCGUGGCAGCAGGUUGGUAGCUACUCAAGUCUUCAUUCACAUGAGUGACAAUGUUUUGCGUUGCAUCAAAACUUCUGAAUGAUAUUCCCUACCCAGUUGAGUUCAUCAUAUUUUCCACUCCCCUCUUGAAUGAGAGGCAAUCUCUCCCUUAUCAGCCUACUCCAAAAUAAAGAGCCAUUUAAAAAAUAUAUGGCCAUGGUACUUCAGAAUCUGUCCAGACUUCAAUAUGCUAUUGACAUUACAAACCAAUCCAAUUUCAGGUAUUUCUUUACUACAACUUGCCAGAAAAAUAAUUUUAUUAGUAUGUCUAUUAAAAUAGCCCUUUCCAUCAAAUUUUUAUUGUAAUCCUCUGAUUGGUCCAGCUUUUUACUAAAGUAAUGCAGAUUAUAUCAACAUCUUGCCAGACAAAUAUGACCUGGUUGUUUUAAGUGGGCAUUUCACUUUUGCCUCCACUUAUAUAGAAUGGGGCAUGUAAUUUACUGUGGGAGGCAUGGAGAUUCUUUUAUCUCUUUUUAUAAUCUCCAAAGCCUGCAGACUUACAGCAGUGAGGGGACUUGCCCAUGUGAAUUCCAUUAAACUCAAUGAAACUCUCAUGCCAUGAAAUCCCACACAACCACUGAAAAUUAAUUAUUCAUAAUAAUAACACAUUUCUCUUUCCAUCUGAGCUUGCAAACAUCCUUUCCAAGAUAAAUAAUUAUGGUCAAAAGAUGCCCUGUGCUAAUGAGGCAGGCAGUUUAUACCUAUUUUUAUAUUUGUGUUCAUAGACACAAAGUUAGACAAUUCUAGGUCUGUUUAAGAAAAUUUCAAACAAGCUCCCUGUGCUGAGAAUUUCACUGGUUUUGAUGAACUCCUCCUAGAAUCAGUGGGAACUAACUAUAGUAUAAAAUUACACUGCAGUCUUAUAGACAUUUUUCUCCACAGGAGUUAAGGGAUAAAAAAGCAGAUCUCAGUAUAAAAUUUAUUUAGGGCUAGGGCUAUUUUAAGAUUUUCUUUUACACAGCACACAAACUCAAAGAGACCUGAGGAGAAUGAAAGUGUUUGUGGUGAAGUCUGAAACAGAAUCCACUAAUCUACUCAAACCCACACUCUUAAUAUUAAAAGGUAGUCCUUCCCAUUGUAAAUACCAUUAUCAAUUCAGACUGGUCACUUCAGCCCCAGACUUCACAUCUGUCUUUUGUUGUUCUCCAUCUUUUACUGUUUUCUAAAAUACAGAGCCAUUUUUCGGGUUGAUUUAUUGGAACUUCAAUAAUUUUGUAUCAAAUAUUACCUGAAUGAAGCACUAAGCUAUAAACUGUGUACUCACAGAAAAAAUACUGGUUUCAUCCUUUGAUUUGUGCAGAUGUCCUCUAUGUAAAUACUGCUGGCUUUAUAAAAGUGUAAAUUUCUACCUAUCUGAUCCCUCAGUUCUACUUAUCUCAAAAUCCGUCUACAGCCUCCUGAGAACAUUAUGCACUGAAUUAAGAUUGGGAUUUGAAACAACCAAAGCAGGCCCAUGAUAAAUAUUCGAAAACAGUAGAGACAGCUGAAUCUGAAACCCCAAUUCACCCAUGGUUUUGACUAGAUGCCUGAUUUGGGUUUCCAUGGCAAAGUUUUAGUAGCCAGGGGAGCUAAAGGGGUGGCUUUUGUGUGACGCUGCUGGAAGAUUUUCCUGAUGUCUGCCAUGUUCAAGAUGGACCUGCUACUGCUCAAGACUGACCCCAUCAACCAUCAGCAUCAGUGGUAGCACUCCUGGGAUGGCAUAUUCAAGAAGGGAAGAAAAAACUUGUACAACAGCAGCUGCAGCUGGAGAAAGAAGUCUGAGAAAAACAUCCCUGCAGACCCCUGGGUCAGUGAAAAAAGAGGAGGAGGAGAUGCUCCAGGUGCCAGAGCAGAGAUCCCCCAUGCUGAAGACAACAAUGAGGUAGGACUAGAGACCCACAGUGAAACAGAGAUCCAUCUUCAGCCCCUGGACGACCCAGCACUGGAUCUGGUGAAUGCCCAAAGCGGACAGUGACCCUGUGGGAAGCCCAUGUUCUGUCCCCGUGGAGAGAGGAGCCCAUAUGGAUGCAGGUUUGCUGGCAGGAAUGAUGACCCUAUUGGAGACCCAUGCUGAAACAAUCUACUCCUGAAGGACUGUACUCCAUGGAAAAAAGGAACCCAGGCUAGAGCAGGGGAAGAGUGUAAGGAGUCCUCAUUUGAGAAGGAAGGAGGGGCAGAGACAGCAUGUGAUGACUAAGCACAGCCUGCUUUCACCAUCCCCAUUGGUCACUGUGGAGAAGAGGUGGAGGGAAAUGUGAAGGUGACAACAAUAUAUUGUUUCUGACAGCUGUUUAAUGGAAAACACAUAAACAGUCCUAGGAAGUAUGAGGUCUCCCAAAGAACAGUGUCCUAUUAGCCACUGGAGCAACGGCACUUCCUCUGGAGCUUGCCCUUCCAGGGCCCAGGAGUCCCACAUUCAUUUUCUUCUUUUAUUCACAAGUGACUUCUCUUCAAAUGAAUGACAGAAAACCAGUCCUGUUCAAGGUUGUUUUGUUAUUAUGGUGUCACUUUUAGAAGAGAGCCAUAAUCAGAUAAAUAGUGAGAAGACACAAAAGGAGAACUCUGAGAUCCUGUGGGAGCAAGAGCAGGAGCCAUACUCUUAAUCUAAUGGGAUGUAUUUCAGCAUAGCGCACAAAAAAAUAGAAGACCCACUACUAUCAACCAUGCCACUAUUUUGUGACACAUUACUGCAGGAGACUUUUGGAUGAGAUGCAGCCAGUAGACAUUAUAUUCUCAAGGAACUUUCUCUUCAGUGUACCUUUGCUCUGAAGAUGUCACUUACUGGGAUUGACUCUGGAACAGGAAGACUUUUGGCUUGAAAUUAUCAGCUUUAGACAUUUUGCACUCAGAGAGCUUCAUCAGAGUUGUGUGUUGUAAUUGUGCAUUGUAACACCAAAUCAGUAUUAUGAAGUUACUAAAAUUAAAAACCCAAUGAUAUGUCAAAUGAAAAAGUUUGCAGAAGUUGAUAGCCCACAACAUUUGAAAACAUAGUGUCAAAAAAUCUUCUAAAAAGGAAAGUUAACCUCACAUAAUAAAAUAAUUUUAUUAUUACCUUCCCUAUUUUUUAAAAUAACUACAUUAA